rnacentral:rRNA from 1 species
AGGGGGGGCAAGCGUUGUUCGGAAUUACUGGGCGUAAAGGGCUCGUAGGCGGCCAAUUAAGUCCGACGUGAAAUCCCCAGGCUUAACCUGGGAACUGCGUCGGAUACUGAUUGGCUUGAAUCCGGGAGAGGGAUGCGGAAUUCCAGGUGUAGCGGUGAAAUGCGUAGAUAUCUGGAGGAACACCGGUGGCGAAGGCGGCAUCCUGGACCAACACUGACGCUGAGGAGCGAAAGCCAGGGGAGCAAACGGGAUUAGAUACCCCGGUAGUCCUGGCCCUAAACGAUGAAUGCUUGGUGUGGCGGGUAUCGAUCCCUGCCGUGCCGAAGCUAACGCAUUAAGCAUUCCGCCUGGGGAGUACGGUCGCAAGGCUG